UUCAGAAUUAACAAGGAUAGGAUCAACUUGCAUGUCUGCAGUCCCAUUGUCCUAAUGAAAUGAUCGUAAAUGAAGCCUACACGUUUCCCUGGAGAUAUGCUAAGAAAAUGUCUACAUUCCUUUAGGUUCGACAUCUUAGGGAGUGUUUACAAUGCUUCGAUUCUGAGUAUGAUGUGUGCCUUUGCCUCCCUCUGAGGCUGGGAAAGUGCAACUGAUGUCAAGCACAUAUUCCCCCCCCCCUGGGGGGGGGGUGUCAAAUUUAUAUUAAAAUUGGAAGCUGUGGUGGAGACCGGUGAAAGCAGGAGCCCGAAGCCCAGUUGACCCACCAGCCAAGGGAGAAGACCUGCAGCAGCUACUUUAUAUCAUAACCCCUUUCUCCCACUUGAUCCAAAAUAAC
rnacentral:lncRNA from 11 species